UGACAUACAAGGGGUGUAGGUUAUCUCAUUUAUCACAUUUACUGACAUACAAGGGGUGUAGGUUAUCUCAUUUAUCCCAUUUACUGACAUACAAGGGGUGUAGGUUAUCUCAUUUAUCACAUUUACUGACAUACAAGGGGUGUAGGUUAUCUCAUUUAUCACAUUUACUGACAUACAAGGGGUGUAGGUUAUCUCAUUUAUCACAUUUACUGACAUACAAGGGGUGUAGGUUAUCUCAUUUAUCACAUUUACUGACAUACAAGGGGUGUAGGUUAUCUCAUUUAUCACAUUUACUGACAUACAAGGGGUGUAGGUUAUCUCAUUUAUCACAUUUACUGACAUACAAGGGGUGUAGGUUAUCUCAUUUAUCACAUUUACUGACAUACAAGGGGUGUAGGUUAUC